rnacentral:tRNA from 1 species
GGUGGCUCAGUACUAGAGCACUUGCCUUGCAUGCAUGAGACCCUGGGUUCGAUUCCUCAGCACCA